GGAGGGUAUAGCUCAAGUGGUAGAGCUCAUGCUUAGCAUGCAUGAGGUCCUGGGUUCAAUCCCCAGUACCUCCA
rnacentral:tRNA from 1 species